rnacentral:rRNA from 1 species
UACGGAGGGUGCAAGCGUUAAUCGGAAUUACUGGGCGUAAAGCGUGCGCAGGCGGUUUGUUAAGUCCGUUGUGAAAGCCCCGAGCUCAACUUGGGAAUUGCAGUGGAUACUGGCAGGCUGGAGUACGGUAGAGGAAGGUGGAAUUCCCGGUGUAGCAGUGAAAUGCGUAGAUAUCGGGAGGAACACCAGUGGCGAAGGCGGCCUUCUGGACCAGUACUGACACUGAAAAGCGAAAGCCAGGGGAGCAAACGGG